UUCACUAGAAGGCCAUCAUAAUGUUUCGUUGGAUUAUAGAGACAAGGCUUGGAGAGCAUCGCUUGGGUGAAAGGGUGACAGAGAAUUGUAUUCUCCUCUUUCGAAUAUCAUCCGGAGGCGAACGUAAACCUUUGUGAUAUGGAUGAUGUCAUCAAAGAAAGGGUGAAAGCGUCUUCUCACAAGAGAGAAAUACCUAAAUACGAAGACCAUUUCGUAUAUGCCUAAAUCCGAAAGGAACUUGUGUUUUAAUGCCUAAAUUUUAAAUAACUCUUCUGUAUAACCGUAAAACCUCUAAAUUAUCGAGUUAUUUAUUUAUAGAGGUUUCACUGAUUAAUUCAUCAAUCUCUCUCUUCUUCUCUCUCUCUCUCUCUCUCAAUGCCUUUGCUCCAAGCAUCGAACACGUCACACGGUGCACUCCACAGUGACUUCCGCAGACCACUACGCUACAUGAGCAAAGGCA
rnacentral:lncRNA from 1 species